ACCACAUCAAAAGCUUAUCUACUCUUUAUUAGAGUUUCAAGUGGUGUUGCAUAUACUCUCGCAGAAUAGGAGGUCUAAAGGUAGGAAUGCAGUGAAAACCAAAUCAGUUUUUUAAAAAGAAUUACAAAUGAGUCUUUGCUGUUACAUGAACAACUCAAUUUAUUAUGAAUGAUGGUGCAUAUGAAAUAGUUUCAUAAUUUGAGAUAUAAGAACCUAUAGUCAGAAUCAAUAAAAAUGAUGUUUUUGUGAUUUUGCAAAUCUUAUACCAGAUUUACAAGGCUGUUUAAUGAUAAUUUUCUUUUUGUCUGUACAAAGAUCUUUUCAUUUUGAUUGCCUAUAAUGAAGAACACAAGACAUGUAAAUUAAGAAAGACUGAUAAUUGUCUAUAUAAUAAGAUAUACCUGACACUACAUAUUAUUAAGGUUCACAGAAUGUAAAGAACUACUCAAACUGCAUGUUCAAAUACAAAAAAAAAAAAAAAAAGAAAUGUUUUACUCUUAAAGUUUAUCUUUUAACUCUCAUGUAAAUUCUACUUUAUAUGAAUAAUUAUG
rnacentral:lncRNA from 1 species